AGUGAACGCUGGCGGCAGGCCUAACACAUGCAAGUCGAGCGGCAGCGGGUCCCCGCGAGGGGAUGCCGGCGAGCGGCGGACGGGUGAGGAACACAUCGGAAUCUGCCUGGUUGUGGGGGAUAACGUAGGGAAACUUACGCUAAUACCGCAUGCGACCCUGAGUCGACGGACUUGGGGUGAAAGUGAGGGACCUUCGGGCCUCACGCGACCAGAUGAGCCGAUGUCGGAUAGCUAGUUGGCGGGGUAACGGCCCGCCAAGGCGACGAUCCGUAGCUGGUCUGAGAGGAUGAUCAGCCACACUGGGACUGAGACACGGCCCAGACUCCUACGGAGGCAGCAGUGGGAAUCUUGACAAUGGGCGCAAGCCUGAUCCAGCCAUG
rnacentral:rRNA from 1 species